rnacentral:tRNA from 1 species
CACUGUAAAGCUACCUAGCGUUAACCUUUUAAGUUAAAGAUUGAGAGCACCCCUCUCUACAGUGA